rnacentral:rRNA from 1 species
UACGAAGGGGGCGAGCGUUGUUCGGAAUUACUGGGCGUAAAGGGCGCGUAGGCGGCGAUCCUAGUCAGAUGUGAAAGUCCUGGGCUUAACCUGGGGACUGCAUUUGAUACUGGAUUGCUUGAAUGCAGGAGAGGAUAGCGGAAUUCCCAGUGUAGAGGUGAAAUUCGUAGAUAUUGGGGAAGAACACCGGUGGCGAAAGGCGGCUAUCUGGAC